AAGAUUUUAAUGAUGUCCGUGGCCUAGUGUCUUCCAGGUUUGAUCAGAUGAUGAAUGCAAUCAAUGAAAAUAAGGUACAACAUAUAUACAUUUACAACAUAUGUAUUUUUUUACAACUAAGUUGUUAUUUACUAUUUUUUUUAUUUAUAUUUUCAUGUUUUAAACGCGAAGAAACAAGCAAAAGGCAGCGAAUCUGAUCAUCCACUAGCGGAUGAAAAUGUUAAGAGUACAUCACCCCAUCAAGCGACUAUAAAGUUUGUUCAUGAUUUUAAUAAGAAUCCUGAAGG
rnacentral:lncRNA from 1 species